ensembl:lncRNA
AUUUAUGUCUACAUAUAGGUUUUCUAGGAUCAAAUUCAGGUACAUACCAAGGAAACCAAGUUUAAAACUACAUGUAUUUUAAGACACUUAUAAUUUAAGGCACUUUAGACUUGGCCUGAUUUUUUUAGACCCCUAUUCCUUUUUUUAUUUAGAGUCUAUUAACCUACAAAUGUUCUCAUUCAUUGCAUUCAUUGUAAAGAGUAUGUUUCACCUGUGUCCCUUUUGGUAACCUUUACCCCUGAAAACAUGUUCACCUAAUUCAUAAAUGGCUUGAGAUUCAGUUACAGUUCAAGCAUUUCGUGUUUGAAAGGAGAGUUGCUCAACAAUCUCAAGCUUUAAUGUCAACUGCGUGAGUCCAUGAGUGGGUGAGUGGAGAUAUUCACCUGUCAGAGCCCAAAGGAGGAGUUUGGAAAGGUUAGAAAAGGGUGAAUGGAAUAAGGACUGGGUCUGCUAUCUUUAAACAUCUGCCCACACUAGUAAGUUGGUUUAACUUGAUUUUAGCGAUAUGUUGGAUGGCUUUUUUUUUUUUUAUAUCCUUUGAGUUAUGUUCAGAUGUUGUACAUCUGGAUUUAAAUUUCUGUAUCAGACUCCCUGUUAGAUCAUGACUUAUGGUUAUAGGGCUGUUAAAUAUAGCUACCUCUGAGUAAGGGAGGGUUGUAAGGAAGAUGAUCAUAUGCUGUUGGAGAACACGGGAACUUGAAAGGCAGGGGUGUUCCAAUCUGUAGAACAAGAAUGAGCAAUUAAGUGUAAUUAUUAGGGUGGGUGGGUAUUAGUAUUAUAGUAUUAUAUACUGGUAUAAGACAUGAGAAUAUCCUUUGAAGACAUUUCUUUUAGAAAAACUGGUCCCCAGAGUUACAGAAAGAUAAACAAAAUAUGUUAGAUGAGUGUACAUAACCCCUUAAGUAUAGCACCAACAGUACUUAGGACACAUAAACAGCUCUAGGAUAUUUGAUUACAAAGGCAAGAAAUAAUUUUCUGACUGGUGGCAUGAGUGACUUGCUGACUGAUACAGAAAACUGCCGAAAAACUAGUCAAAGUGUGGACAUUUAAGAUGGUUUUUGAGUUAUCCCCUAAGCUAAGUCGGCCAUUUUGGAGCACUGUAGGGAUGUAAAAUUAUUAAAUGUAAUGGCUGUUCUCAGAAGACUUGAGGUCAGACACUUUUUACACAGCAAUCUGAAUUUAAAUGAUGAUUAGUUGAGUCAGAAAAACUGUGGACACGAUUUAGUACUGUGGUUACUCACCACAGAAUUGUGUGCCCUACCUCAGUGAUGUAAAGCGAGCCUGAG